GUCCCUUUUUCCUAAAAUUAUACAAACAAUCCAGCGAAGAUUAACAAAUAGAUAAACGGAAAGUAAGUUUUAGGCUUUAUCCUUUGUUCUUGUUUAACAAAAUCGAUUUAAAUUGUUACUUUUUUACCACUAAGUAAUGAUAAAUUAUUGUUAAUAUUUUUUUUAUUUUUUGGAUGCUCAGAAUGCAGGAAAUAGCAUUUCACGGUUUCAAAUUUCAAAAAUUUUCUUGGGAUUAUCCCUCUAAUAAGUAAUGAUAAAUUACAGUUAAUAUUCUUUUUUACUUUUUGUGCAUUUUUCCAUCUUUUAUUUCAAAUACAACUAUAGUUAGCAUAAAUUUUAGAGCAAAUUUGGAUGCUCAGAAUGCAGGAAAUGGCAUUUCCGUGGUUCAAAUUUCAAAAAUUUUCUGGGGGAGUACACCCCCACACACCUGACCAUUGCUAUCCUCCUCUAAUAAGUAAUGAUAAAUGAUGGUUAAUUUUUUUUUACUUUUUGUGCGUUUCUUCCUUUAUUUAUUUCAAAUACAAGUAUAGUUAGGAUAAAUUUUGGAGCAAAUUUGGAUGCUCAGAAUGCAGGAAAUGACAUUUCCGGGAGUCAAAUUUCAAAAAUUUUCUGGGGGAGUACACCCCAGACCCCCCAUUCAUGCGUGGUAUAUUUGCCACACACGUGGCUUUCAGCCAUUGCUAUCCCCCUCUAAUAUAUUAUCUCACAGAAAGGUCCCUUUUCAAAAAAUGCCCCCCCACGGGAAAAUCCUUAAAAAAGGCCCUGCACACCAUUGCGCUCCGGAACCAACAUGCACGAAUAACAUGUUUUUUAUCAAGUUUUUGAAGCUAAAUUUUGCGCCCUCGUGGUCAAGGUGGCGUGAAAUUUAUUGUAAGAAUAAGCGAAAAUUAUACCCUGUGCCAUGCAAAUUUAAAUACAACUAUUAAAGGUUUAUGUUUUAUAAUAUUCCAUAGCAGUUUAAUACUAUGUUAUUAAAUGAUUAUAUGCCAUUAAAAAUUUAAUUAACGUUUACAGUCGAUUUCACGAAACUUUGACCACAAAUUUUCCGAACUUCGUUGCGAAGUUCACAAGAUUGUUGCGAAGUUCAAAAGUUCAUUGCGAAGUUCAAUGAGAUUCACAAACCAGUUCGUAAACUACGCAUUUGAUUGACUUCUUUUACUUCACGGACAAAUCAGGGACUUUGUUUACAAAUUGGCUUGUGAAUUCCAAUAUGAGCUUCCGAACUUCGCAACGAACUUGCGAACUUCGCAACGAAGUUCGGAACAUUUGUGGUCAAAGUUUCAUGAAAUCGACUGUAAAAUCGUCCCCGGGGUGGGGCAUUUUCCACUCUCAGCUUGCCCAGGGGCC